UACGUAGGGACCAAGCGUUGUCCGGAAUCAUUGGGCGUAAAGAGCGUGUAGGCGGCUUGUUAAGUCUUGCGUGAAAUCUCGGGGCUCAAUCCCGAGCGGUCGUGAGAAACUGGCAGGCUAGAGUGCGGGAGAGGAGAGUGGAAUUCCUGGUGUAGCGGUGAAAUGCGUAGAGAUCGGGAGGAACAUCAGUGGCGAAGGCGGCCAUCUGGAUCAACACUGACGCUGAGGCACGAAAGCGUGGGGAGCAAACAGG
rnacentral:rRNA from 1 species